CCUACGGGAGACAGCAGUAGGGAAUAUUGCUCAAUGGGGGAAACCCUGAAGCAGCAACGCCGCGUGGAGGAUGAAGGUUUUCGGAUUGUAAACUCCUUUUGUUAGAGAAGAUAAUGACGGUAUCUAACGAAUAAGCACCGGCUAACUCCGUGCCAGCAGCCGCGGUAAUACGGAGGGUGCAAGCGUUACUCGGAAACACUGGGCGUAAAGGGCGCGUAGGCGGGAUAGCAAGUCAGAUGUGAAAUCCUAUGGCUUAACCAUAGAACUGCAUUUGAAACUGUUAUUCUAGAGUAUGGGAGAGGUAGGUGGAAUGCUUGGUGUAGGGGUAAAAUCCGUAGAGAUCAAGAGGAAUACUCAUUGCGAAGGCGACCUGCUAGAACAUAACUGACGCUGAUGCGCGAAAGCGUGGGGAGCAAACAGGAUUAGAUACCCCAGUAGUC
rnacentral:rRNA from 1 species